CACACUCCAGAAAGACCCAGACGGGGCAAGCUGGUACAGGCUCGCGGGCACCCUUAACUCUGCAAGGUUCCAAGUUCCUCGCCAUCCCGGGAACCGCCUUGGUUUUCCAUAUCUUACCUUAGUCUCUAACCCACUGACCCCAAGACGCGCACCUUCUUGGCUCCGGGCUCUUCCUGGCUGGGUCCCACCCAGUGUCACUCCAGCUCAAAACGCGGCUGUUUACUCCGAUUCUUAGCGGGACUAGGUGAGCACAGGCCACCUCUAUAGGACUAUCUUGCCUCCAUCCUAUUCUCCGUGCCACGCAUUUCGUACAUCUGAAGCUGCAUUGUACCCAUCCCAUCUUCUUGAUUCCUACGUCCUCAGCCAUUUGCCUUGACGUCCCCACUGCUGAGAGCAUCAUAGUUCCAUGCUCUACCACAGACUCUCGUCUUCCUCCUGAGGGUCUCCCCUGUGACCUCGUCAUCAGCCAGAGAGGUUGGGAACCUUGGCUCUACAGCUUCCUGCAGACCAGAUUUCACACUGAAACCCAGGUUGACCUCAGACUUGGAGCAAUCUUCCUGCCUCAGUCUCUCAAGUGCUGGAAUCUCAGGCAGGAGCCACCAUGGCCGGCUUCAACCACUCCUUGUUUUAGUACAUGUUUUUAGCACGGGCGCUUGUCUCAGACAGUGUGUUUCUAAAAUGCCACGGCUCCCCGAAGUUACACAGUGUCCUUUCCACACUAAUUGCGGCGGCCACCUAGAAGUAUGAAUUAUGAGUUCUUCGUGUCCUUAGUGAAUUAUAAACAGCAUUAUUAAAAAAUGCCUUCACAUGAAUUCCACAGAGAGCCAAACUGCUUGCUAUUCAAUUUUUUUUUCCUUUGAGAUAGCGUCUGGCUAGUUUCCUCUCAGCUUGGCUCAAGUGAGAGUUGUUUUGAAAGAGGAACUCUCAGCUGAGAAAAGGACUCCGGAAUGAGUCUGCAGGGCAUUAAUCAGUGACUGAUGUGGGAGGGCCCAGCCCACCGUGGGUGGUGCAACCCGGGCAGGUGGUAGUCCUGGGCAAUAUCAGAAAGGAAACUGAGCAAGAUAGCAAAUAACAACCCCCACGGCCUCCGCAGCAGCUCCCGCCUCCGGGUUCUUGUCCAGACUUUCUUCAGGGACAGAGUGUGGUCUGAGAACUACAAGGUGAAAUAAACCCUUUCUUCCCCAAGUUGCUGUGAGUCACAGCAAUAGAGACCUAAAUAACACAGAGAGGGGCUUUCUUUUAGCCCAGGCUAGCCUCAAACUUGUAGCACUCCUCCUGCUCCAGAUGCCUGCGUGUUGAGAUUAUAUCGUGUACCGCUCUCUGUACAAAUUUAAACAGACUGUGUUCAUGCUCCUUCAACCCUUGACUCUCAAGGAGAUGUGUCCAGCAUCCUUGAACCUCGUUUCAGGGGCCAGGCAUUAAGUCACAACCACGUUUUAGUCACUGCUAUUUUCAAAUACUUGACUUAUGAGACAAUUUAUUCAUUGUCCGCAUAUAUAUAUCUACUUCAGGCCAACAUAGCUAACGCCAUUGCUUGUCAGGUAACACACUUUCAUUAUUAAACUUCCAUGUUACUGAUUAUGUAGACUUUCCGAAACACGGAUCUCCAUAUUAGUCCUUCUCCAAAUACCUGAUGACAUGCUCAUGGAGGAGAUAUAUGAAGGAAUAAAUGAUUGUACCAGCGAAUGGCUUGUGAUCUGGCUUUCAUUCACC